CAGUCGCCGCGGGAAAACGUAGGGUGCAAGCGUUAAUCGGAAUUACUGGGCGUAAAGCGUGCGCAGGCGGUUUGUUAAGUCUGUUGUGAAAUCCCCGGGCUCAACCUGGGAAUGGCAAUGGAUACUGGCAAGCUAGAGUGUGUCAGAGGAUGGUGGAAUUCCCGGUGUAGCGGUGAAAUGCGUAGAGAUCGGGAGGAACAUCAGUGGCGAAGGCGGCCAUCUGGGACAACACUGACGCUGAGGCACGAAAGCGUGGGGAGCAAACAGGAUUAGAUACCCGAGUAGUCCCUGUCUCUUAUAC
rnacentral:rRNA from 1 species